CUGCACAGGUUUCUUCCGAGAUAGUCCAUAAUCGGGUGGAAACAUGAAUGUGUUGAAAUUGCUCAGUUUGCUGUUCAUUCUGAUUCUCUGCCUCGGGAUGUUUUCAGUUGAGAGUGCAGGUCUAAAAGUUAGAAGAAAGUGCUGCUGCAAAAUGAAGAAGUCAGAGAAACAUGGAGUGCACAAAAAGAUUCAUGGCCAUCCCAAGAAGCACUGCUGCAGGUUCUGCAAUGUAAUACUACCUCCUGGGCCUUUGUCUCAAAUCUGAAGAAAAUUAUUUUGAUACUUGGACUGCUUGCCAUUUGGAAUCUUCCUUUCCAGACAAUCUUAAUUCAAUAAUAUCGACUAAUGCACAGAGUGUUCCUGGUCUGUUUAGUUACUUGACUUCCUAAAAGGGGUUCAAAAUUCAGUUUGAAUUGGUCCAUUGACGGAAUCUUUAUCUCGAUUCGUUGCUCAUUUACAGCUUAUGCAUUUCUCCCUAUACAACAUAUGGCUACUCAGUGCACUGCACAAUGCAACCGUUAAUGAAUACAUGGUAGUGGUAGGAAAAGGAGAAAUGAAUGGAAAUAAUUAUAUGUUUAAGUCAUCAAUGUGAGUGGUAGCAGGAUGAUGACUUCAGAUCUUUACAUCACAGAGUCUACAGCUUUGCCUUAAGAAAUAUGGACUGUUCUGCUGUAAGUGUUACAAGAGGCUUUCUUGCUUUCAAUGUCCUUAACUGGGAAAAAUGACUUCAAGCUGUUUUGGAAACCAGUUCUAAAUGC